rnacentral:tRNA from 1 species
GGAGGAGUGGCCGAGUGGUUGAAGGCGCACGCUUGGAAAGCGUGUAUGGGGCAACUCAUCGCAGGUUCGAAUCCUGUCUCCUCCGCCA